rnacentral:rRNA from 1 species
AGUGAACGCUGGCGGUAGGCCUAACACAUGCAAGUCGAACGGCAGCACAGGAGAGCUUGCUCUCUGGGUGGCGAGUGGCGGACGGGUGAGGAAUACAUCGGAAUCUACUCUGUCGUGGGGGAUAACGUAGGGAAACUUACGCUAAUACCGCAUACGACCUACGGGUGAAAGCAGGGGACCUUCGGGCCUUGCGCGAUUGAAUGAGCCGAUGUCGGAUUAGCUAGUUGGCGGGGUAAAGGCCCACCAAGGCGACGAUCCGUAGCUGGUCUGAGAGGAUGAUCAGCCACACUGGAACUGAGACACGGUCCAGACUCCUACGGGAGGCAGCAGUGGGGAAUAUUGGACAAUGGGCGCAAGCCUGAUCCAGCCAUACCGCGUGGGUGAAGAAGGCCUUCGGAUUGUAAACUCCUGUUAAGUGGGAAGAAAUCCUUUUGGUUAAUACCCAGAGGGGAUGACGGUACCAUUAGAGAAAGCACCGGCUAACUUCGUGCCAGCAGCCGCCGUAA